UGCUCCUUGAUUAGGAAAUUCUACAGUUCAAUUCUGCACCGCGCAACAACUAAAAAGAUUAAACUAUCUCCUCGAAAGAUUUUAAUCAAAACAUUGAUAUAACUCACGGAACAACAAUUUUAAACCGCAAAAACACGCUGCUUUCUCAUGCUGUAAAAAGUUAUACUGUAGAAUUAGAUAUUGAACUGACUUACUUUCAUUAAUUCGCAAACUAUGAGUAUUUAUUCACAAUGAACUCAACAAGAUAUAAACACAAACUCCUAAAAUAUAGGACAUAAACUCUAUCACCAAAGAUAUCGUACUAAUCUAAUUCUCAAUUUUUAAUCUUCAUAGUUCCUUAUUAUAUA
rnacentral:sRNA from 1 species